rnacentral:rRNA from 1 species
AGAGUUUGAUCCUGGCUCAGAUUGAACGCUGGCGGCAUGCCUUACACAUGCAAGUCGAACGGCAGCACGGGCUUCGGUCUGGUGGCGAGUGGCGAACGGGUGAGUAAUGUAUCGGAACGUACCUUUCAGUGGGGGAUAACGUAGCGAAAGUUACGCUAAUACCGCAUAUUCUGUGAGCAGGAAAGCAGGGGAUCGCAAGACCUUGCGCUGAUUGAGCGGCCGAUAUCAGAUUAGCUAGUUGGUGGGGUAAAGGCCUACCAAGGCUACGAUCUGUAGCGAGUCUGAGAGGAUGAUCCGCCACACUGGAACUGAGACACGGUCCAGACUCCUACGGGAGGCAGCAGUGGGGAAUUUUGGACAAUGGGGGCAACCCUGAUCCAGCCAUGCCGCGUGAGUGAAGAAGGCCUUCGGGUUGUAAAGCUCUUUCGGCCGGGAAGAAAUCGCAUAGGUUAAUACCCUGUGUGGAUGACGGUACCGGAAUAAGAAGCACCGGCUAACUACGUGCCAGCAGCCGCGGUAAUACGUAGGGUGCGAGCGUUAAUCGGAAUUACUGGGCGUAAAGCGUGCGCAGGCGGUUUCGUAAGACAGAGGUGAAAUCCCCGGGCUCAACCUGGGAACUGCCUUUGUGACUGCGAAGCUAGAGUACGGCAGAGGGGGGUGGAAUUCCACGUGUAGCAGUGAAAUGCGUAGAGAUGUGGAGGAACACCGAUGGCGAAGGCAGCCCCCUGGGCCGAUACUGACGCUCAUGCACGAAAGCGUGGGUAGCAAACAGGAUUAGAUACCCUGGUAGUCC